GAUGAACGCUAGCGGCAGGCUUAACACAUGCAAGUCGAGGGGUAUAGGUUUUCGGACCUAGAGACCGGCGCACGGGUGCGUAACGCGUAUGCAAUCUACCUUUCACAGAGGGAUAGCCCAGAGAAAUUUGGAUUAAUACCUCAUAGUAUAGCAGUUUCGCAUGAAACCACUAUUAAAGUUCCAACGGUGAAAGAUGAGCAUGCGUCCCAUUAGCUAGAUGGUAAGGUAACGGCUUACCAUGGCUACGAUGGGUAGGGGUCCUGAGAGGGAGAUCCCCCACACUGGUACUGAGACACGGACCAGACUCCUCCGGGAGGCAGCAGUGAGGAAUAUUGGUCAAUGGACGCAAGUCUGAACCAGCCAGGCCGCGUGCAGGAUGACGGUCCUAUGGAUUGUAAACUGCUUUUGUACGAGAAGAAACAUUCCGACGUGUCGGAACUUGACGGUAUCGUAAGAAUAAGGAUCGGCUAACUCCGUGCCAGCCGCCGCGGUAACAC
rnacentral:rRNA from 1 species